AUUGAACGCUGGCGGCAGGCCUAACACAUGCAAGUCGGACGGUAGCACAGAGGAGCUUGCUCCUCGGGUGACGAGUGGCGGACGGGUGAGUAAUGUCUGGGGAUCUGCCCGAUAGAGGGGGAUAACCACUGGAAACGGUGGCUAAUACCGCAUAACGUCGCAAGACCAAAGAGGGGGACCUUCGGGCCUCUCACUAUCGGAUGAACCCAGAUGGGAUUAGCUAGUAGGCGGGGUAACGGCCCACCUAGGCGACGAUCCCUAGCUGGUCUGAGAGGGUGACCAGCCACACUGGAACUGAGACACGGUCCAGACUCCUACGGGAGGCAGCAGUGGGGAAUAUUGCACAAUGGGCGCAAGCCUGAUGCAGCCAUGCCGCGUGUAUGAAGAAGGCCUUCGGGUUGUAAAGUACUUUCAGCGGGGAGGAAGGCGAUGUGGUUAAUAACCGCAUUGAUUGACGUUACCCGCAGAAGAAGCACCGGCUAGCUCCGUGCCAGCCGCCGCCGUAA
rnacentral:rRNA from 1 species